GUCCCUGUAGCGCAACGGAUAGCACGUUGGACAUGUAAUCCGAAGGUCGUGGGUUCCAAUCCCACCUGGGAUG